CGCGAUACAGAGAAGAUUAACAUGGCCCCUAUGCAAGGAUGGCCACAAAUUCGUGAAGUGUUUAAAAAAGAG
rnacentral:snRNA from 1 species